GGGUGACUGCGUACCUUUUGUAUAAUGGGUCAGCGACUUAUAUUUUGUAGCGAGGUUAACUGAAUAAGGGAGCCGAAGGGAAACCGAGUCUUAACUGGGCGAAGAGUUGCAAGGUAUAGACCCGAAACCCGGUGAUCUAGCCAUGGGCAGGUUGAAGGUUGGGUAACACUAACUGGAGGACCGAACCGACUAAUGUUGAAAAAUUAGCGGAUGACCUGUGGCUGGGGGUGAAAGGCCAAUCAAACCGGGAGAUAGCUGGUUCUCCCCGAAAUCUAUUUAGGUAGAGCCUUGUGUGAAUACCUUUGGGGGUAGAGCACUGUUUCGGCUAGGGGCCCAUCCCGGGUUACCAAACCGAUGCAAACUCCGAAUACCAAAGAGUAAUGCACAGGAGACACACGGCGGGUGCUAACGUCCGUCGUGGAGAGGGAAACAACCCAGACCGCCAGCUAAGGUCCCAAAAUCUAUAUUAAGUGGGAAACGAAGUGGGAAGGCUUAGACAGCUAGGAUGUUGGCUUAGAAGCAGCCACCAUUUAAAGAAAGCGUAAUAGCUCACUAGUCGAGUCGGCCUGCGCGGAAGAUGUAACGGGGCUAAAAUAUAGUACCGAAGCUGCGGCAUCAAUCGAAAGAUUGUUGGGUAGGGGAGCGUUGUGUAAGCGGAAGAAGGUGGUUCGAGAGGAUUGCUGGACGUAUCACAAGUGCGAAUGCUGACAUAAGUAACGAUAAAACGGGUGAAAAACCCGUUCGCCGGAAGACCAAGGGUUCCUGUCCAACGUUAAUCGGGGCAGGGUGAGUCGGCCCCUAAGGCGAGGCUGAAAAGCGUAGUCGAUGGGAAACGGGUUAAUAUUCCCGUACUUGGUAAAGCUGCGAUGUGGGGACGGAGAAGGUUAGGUUAUCGACCUGUUGGAGAUGGUCGUUUAAGUUGGUAGGUGGGUGAGUUAGGCAAAUCCGGCUCACCGUUAACACUGAGAGAUGAUGACGAGGCACUAAGGUGCUGAAGUAACUGAUACCACACUUCCAGGAAAAGCCACUAAGCUUCAGGCUUUACUAAACCGUACUGAAAACCGACACAGGUGGUCAGGUAGAGAAUACUCAGGCGCUUGAGAGAACUCGGGUGAAGGAACUAGGCAAAAUAGCACCGUAACUUCGGGAGAAGGUGCGCCGGCGUAGAUUGUAGUGACUUGCUCACGAAGGUUGAACCGGUCGAAGAUACCAGCUGGCUGCAACUGUUUAUUAAAAACACAGCACUCUGCAAACACGAAAGUGGACGUAUAGGGUGUGAUGCCUGCCCGGUGCUGGAAGGUUAAUUGAUGGUGUAAUCGAAAGAGAAGCUCCUGAUCGAAGCCCCAGUAAACGGCGGCCGUAACUAUAACGGUCCUAAGGUAGCGAAAUUCCUUGUCGGGUAAGUUCCGACCUGCACGAAUGGCAUAAUGAUGGCCAGGCUGUCUCCACCCGAGACUCAGUGAAAUUGAAAUCGCCGUGAAGAUGCGGUGUACCCGCGGCUAGACGGAAAGACCCCGUGAACCUUUACUAUAGCUUGACACUGAACCUUGAAUUUUGAUGUGUAGGAUAGGUGGGAGACUGUGAAGCGGUAACGCCAGUUAUCGUGGAGUCGUUGUUGAAAUACCACCCUUUAACGUUUGAUGUUCUAACGAAGUGCCUGAAACGGGUACUCGGACAGUGUCUGGUGGGUAGUUUGACUGGGGCGGUCUCCUCCCAAAGUGUAACGGAGGAGCACGAAGGUUUGCUAAUGACGGUCGGACAUCGUCAGGUUAGUGCAAUGGUAUAAGCAAGCUUAACUGCGAGACAGACAAGUCGAGCAGGUGCGAAAGCAGGUCAUAGUGAUCCGG
rnacentral:rRNA from 1 species